rnacentral:tRNA from 1 species
ACUAUCUUGGCAGAGUUAAUGUGUUAGAUUUAGAUUCUAUAAAUGUAUUUUAUACAGAUAGUA